rnacentral:rRNA from 1 species
UACAGAGGGUGCGAGCGUUGUUCGGAAUUAUUGGGCGUAAAGAGUGUGUAGGCGGUGCUCUAAGUUCGUUGUGAAAUCUCCCGGCUUAACUGGGAGGGUGCGGCGGAAACUGGAGUGCUUGAGCGCGGGAGAGGAAAGCGGAAUUCCUGGUGUAGCGGUGAAAUGCGUAGAUAUCAGGAGGAACACCUGUGGUGUAGACGGCUUUCUGGACCGUAGCUGACGCUGAGACACGAAAGCGUGGGUAGCAAACAGG